GAAUUCACUAGUGAUUAGAGUUUGAUCCUGGCUCAGAUUGAACGCUGGCGGCAUGCCUUACACAUGCAAGUCGAACGGCAGCACGGGAGCAAUCCUGGUGGCGAGUGGCGAACGGGUGAGUAAUAUAUCGGAACGUGCCCUAUAGUGGGGGAUAACUGGUCGAAAGAGCAGCUAAUACCGCAUACGACCUGAGGGUGAAAGGGGGGGAUCGCAAGACCUCUCGCUAUUGGAGCGGCCGAUAUCAGAUUAGCUAGUUGGUGGGGUAAAGGCCUACCAAGGCAACGAUCUGUAGUUGGUCUGAGAGGACGACCAGCCACACUGGGACUGAGACACGGCCCAGACUCCUACGGGAGGCAGCAGUGGGGAAUUUUGG
rnacentral:rRNA from 1 species